GCUUCGACCGAACGUGGAACGAGCCAUAUCAACUUCGCAAUGCACACUUUGCCAUCCCAUGAGAUUAUGGGUAAAUUUUACACACACACACAUUAUUUAAUUAGGGUGCGCUUUCCAAAGUAGGCAGGGCAGAUUUCGAUUGGAAUAUCCAUCGAGGUUAUCUACAAACAUUUUGCAAGUCAUGGAGGAUCGAUAAAGCAACAUGAACGUUACCGAACCCCAGCUCUAGAAGCUAGUAAUCCGAAGCACUUGGAAGUCUGGGCCCACGGCCACCAUGGGCGAGAUUCCAGCCCGUCGAAGAAAGACCACAUCAGCUGACUCGGGUAUGGGCAACCAGGCUACUUCCCAGCUAAAGAGGGAUCCCAAUGCAAGGUUGCAGGAAUAGCCAAGCAGUGGAAUUCGGAAUAAAGCUCAAAACACAAGUGGGGGGAGGCUGAAAAAGCGUAGUCUCUGACAGGCAGCUAGCCACUGUGAUCUCAUGGGGUGGGCCCCGUCGAGGUUGCUGAUUGCACCUCCGUUGGUGUCUCUGACUAGGAACUCGUGGACAUCAUGAUCUAGAGUCCUUGAUAAUCAAUGUUCAUGGCAGAGACCAAACCUCGUGUGUCACCUGAGCCCAGACUGUUUCGGCAGAAUGCCCGAUGGUAGUGUACCAUGCAGUUGGAUGAGAAACGUCUUCUUUCCCUCUGUUUUGUGCAGCUUUUCUCCAACAACACUCCCAGCAUGAAGCAUCGUCGGCUAACCAACGUCUACGUUCUGCUUUCAUCUGGAUUUAAGGUCCCAGGGUUUCGCGUGAGAAGUUGCAAACGAAGAUGCCUGGAUAAAGAACCGGCGAGGAACGGAACCCUCCACACUCUUCAGCAGCCUCCUCUUAAUCAGGAGAAAAGCUAUUUAUGAGUGAACCCGUUGUGGAAGUUGAAGGAACGGCGAAAGAUGAGCGGGAUGCUGACAAAAUCCGUACUGGAAAUGGCAUGUAAAAGGAGGGUGCGUAGGGUUAUUGCUGGAGGAGGGAACCCACAAGUUAAGUUGAUGCUUUGGUCAACAUAGCCCUAGCUCGACGUAAGUCCAGGUCUCCGGCACUCGUCAAGUGGCCUCUGUUUCAAGCUGAUAGGCAACUUGAACGGUGAUGGCUUUGGCUAUGUUAGUUCUCGCAGUUGGAAUUGUUUAGAUAUAGAUGGUGGAAGAACAGGUUGAGUAUGCGUUGCUUUCUUCUCCCAGAUAGCGCAGGGUGUUCGAGCUUCUCGUUCUUUCCCGCCUUCCUUUUCGAGUUGGGUGCGCUUGCAAUUGAAGAAUUGGGUUCAAGGAUAGGAACAUGAUGGAGUUUGUUGCUUGUGCGUUCGAGUCGAAGAAGGAAGUUUCAUUCUUAAUGCUCAAGGCGUACAUAUUAUCUCUCUUCUUCCUUGUCGUGGUUUUGUUUCUGGCUGUUGGAGACGCCUGGACUCAUUAUGCUGAAUUAUACUCUCUAUCUUCCUUUACCUCUAAUUACACCUACUACGACCUCGACUUCAGCUUGAUAGUUUGAGGUGCUCUAUUCCAAGACGGGUCCCCAUAGUCUUCCGAGCUGUCUCUCCCUUGUUCAAAAUCUGGAAUUAGUCACGUUUUCUAUCUAUUUUUCCUCAUUUUAUCGACAACUUGGUUGAGACAAAGCCUUUCGUACUGAACGAAGCUUGUGGCUUCACUAGAAAUCUGAUCUCCAUUACCUCUCUUCUUCACUUCAUGGCGUCAGUCAAAGUGACUGUCAGUUGCGGUCCCUUUAAUUGCUCCGCGUCUGCUGAUUUACACACCAUCACAGGCGCUAUGCCGUGUGCCUUUCUGUAUGAUUCGCAACAACACCAACAUUCCAUUCUUGCUAUUCCUCCUGAGGUCUGUCGAUUGCAAUCUCCUCCGCCUUGAUGGCGAUGGUCCCUUGCAGCCAUCUCCUAUUCCGAGAACAGAGAUAUUUAGUUGGUGGCACCUCAAAAGUUCCAGGGAAAGUUUGAAAAUCCAAUAGACCAGGGAGUGACUGAAUUUCAAUGAUGCUUUGAGCAUUGCUAUCGAAGCAUUUCUCCCGACCAUGGGUCAUAGUUAGUUCUUAUUGAAGAACGGGCUGUGUCUUUGGGUGAUGACGGCGAGCCCCUUACAAGCAGGACAGUGAAGUCUUCAAUGUUUAGCCACAUUGGAGCCGAAAGCAUCCAGGAAGUUGUGCCGAAGAGGAGAGCUUCCGUCAACAGGGAUGGCAGCAGGAGGAACAUAAUCGGACGCUUGUAGAACUCUCGCCUGCCCUUUGGCUUGGAUGCGUCUCCCAGUUCGGCGUGAGGAAUCUUCAUCUGUUAGGGAUUUUGAUAUUGCAAAUGUUAGCAGUGAUUACUAUGAACAAGGAGCAGCAGUGAUUGCGAUGACAUGUUCUUGAAAGCUGAUUAUUCUCGGUCGAUUGUAGCGUAUGACUCAAUCUGCCGUUGGUUUAGCCUUGAGUAGGGCUGAAGUCGAUGACAAUUUAUGGUCCAAGAGAUCAGUUUAAGUCUUUUUGUCCUACAAUUCUUUGGUAGUCUCUUAAACGCGGAACAUGUGAAAACAGCGGACUGCAUUUUUUGCGUCACACAUGUUCUCCUUCUGAACAGUAAAUGCAGUUGACACUUCUUUUGAAAGAGAAAUACCAUUUUAUUGUAUGUCAUUGGAGGAAGUUGAGACUUGUGCUUUGUCAGUUUCUUCA